UACGAAGGGGGCUAGCGUUGCUCGGAAUCACUGGGCGUAAAGCGCACGUAGGCGGCUUUUUAAGUCAGGGGUGAAAUCCUGGAGCUCAACUCCAGAACUGCCUUUGAUACUGAAGAUCUCGAGUCCGGGAGAGGUGAGUGGAACUGCGAGUGUAGAGGUGAAAUUCGUAGAUAUUCGCAAGAACACCAGUGGCGAAGGCGGCUCACUGGCCCGGUACUGACGCUGAGGCACGAAAGCGUGGGGAGCAAACAGG
rnacentral:rRNA from 1 species